rnacentral:snRNA from 1 species
UCACUCUGGCUUCUCUUCAACGUAUGAUUCAUUCGCCUUUUACUAAAAAAUUCCGUGGAGAGGAGCAGUUCAAUGAGUCUUGAACAUUUUUCGAUAUCCGACUUUGGUCGGUUU